rnacentral:rRNA from 1 species
UCGGGUGACGAGCGGCGGACGGGUGAGUAAUGUCUGGGAAACUGCCUGAUGGAGGGGGAUAACUACUGGAAACGGUAGCUAAUACCGCAUAAYGUCGCAAGACCAAAGUGGGGGACCUUCGGGCCUCAUGCCAUCAGAUGUGCCCAGAUGGGAUUAGCUAGUAGGUGGGGUAACGGCUCACCUAGGCGACGAUCCCUAGCUGGUCUGAGAGGAUGACCAGCCACACUGGAACUGAGACACGGUCCAGACUCCUACGGGAGGCAGCAGUGGGGAAUAUUGCACAAUGGGCGCAAGCCUGAUGCAGCCAUGCCGCGUGUGUGAAGAAGGCCUUCGGGUUGUAAAGCACUUUCAGCGGGGAGGAAGGCGGUGAGGUUAAUAACCUYGKCGAUUGACGUUACCCGCAGAAGAAGCACCGGCUAACUCCGUGCCAGCAGCCGCGGUAAUACGGAGGGUGCAAGCGUUAAUCGGAAUUACUGGGCGUAAAGCGCACGCAGGCGGUCUGUCAAGUCGGAUGUGAAAUCCCCGGGCUCAACCUGGGAACUGCAUUCGAAACUGGCAGGCUAGAGUCUUGUAGAGGGGGGUAGAAUUCCAGGUGUAGCGGUGAAAUGCGUAGAGAUCUGGAGGAAUACCGGUGGCGAAGGCGGCCCCCUGGACAAAGACUGACGCUCAGGUGCGAAAGC